rnacentral:miRNA from 1 species
UUGUUCCUUGAAUCAACAACUUUAUGAUCAAAUAAUUGCUGGAAGAAGCAUAUAAUAUGCUUUUGGAAUUGAAAGAAAAUAAUUGCUUGCAUGAUGAAAUUACAUACAACACUCUUAUCCACGGAU